rnacentral:rRNA from 1 species
UACGUAGGGUGCAAGCGUUGUCCGGAAUUAUUGGGCGUAAAGAGCUCGUAGGCGGUUUGUCGCGUCGGCUGUGAAACCUGAGGCUCAACCUCGGGCCUGCAGUCGAUACGGGCAGACUAGAGGUAGGUAGGGGAGAAUGGAAUUCCCGGUGUAGCGGUGAAAUGCGCAGAUAUCGGGAGGAACACCGGUGGCGAAGGCGGUUCUCUGGGCCUUACCUGACGCUGAGGAGCGAAAGCGUGGGGAGCGAACAGGG